rnacentral:sRNA from 1 species
GUCUGCUCUGCUCCUUGACCCACCCCCACCCUGCCCCCACCAGGCCAAGAGCUGGAAGAGGUGUGUGUCAGUGACCCUGGAGCUGACCAAGGUGUGGAGGCAGGCAGACCAGACCUUCAUCUCUCUACUGCAGGCCGUGAGGCUGGGCAGGUAAGGUACACAGAUUUGAGGCUAUGGACAGCAACCCUGAGCUGGCUAGUACCCUGGAUGCCCAGUGUCCCGUUAGCCAGCUCCUUCAACUAAAGCUGGGGGCCCAGGUGAUGCUGGUGAAAAACUUAUCGGUGUCUCGGGGUCUGGUGAAUGGCGCCCGAGGGGUGGUAGUCGGGUUCGAGGCAGAAGGGAGAGGGCAUGACCCUGGAUUGUGUGGAGAUUUCUCUGGGCCGUGUGUUUGCCAGUGGCCAGGCCUAUGUGGCCCUUUCCCGGGCCCGCAGCCUGCAGGGCCUACGUGUGCUGGACUUU